rnacentral:lncRNA from 1 species
CCCGUCCUAAGGGACCUCCCGGGCUCUGCUCUCUCUGGGCAGGUUCAGGGCUUUGCAAGCGCUGCUGCUGCCACCAUCAGGCUGACUGAGGCACUGCAGCCUUCACCUGGCGUCAGGGCCCAAAAUAGUGCCCCAGCUCUUGGUGCGGCUUCAGAAGAACAGCUCCUCUCUGCCUCCGCAGUUGCCCCUCACUCAGGUGCAGCUUCCUAUGUAAGAAAAAGGCUUCAGAGGGCAUCUCCCUGAAGAAACAGAACUCCUUGUGAAUGUGGGGUGGACCCCAGCGUCCUCUAGCAAGACGCAGAAAAAGUGCAGGUCCUAGGAUUUAGGGAACGCAACCACUGAGGGAUUAAGUGGUGGUUUUGCUUUCUUUGCCACAAGGUCAGUGAGGCAGGGAAGGGUGGGAAUCACUCCUCCUGCCACUCCCGGAUGAACGUGCUAAGCUUCCUGUGCAAUGAACCAACCGGGCCCCAGUGUUACUCUGAAGCUGUCAUUGCUCCCAGCAUUGCCAAGGGUGACAGGUGGACUGUCACACUGCACCAGAGCCGAGUCACCUGUGACAUUUGCAGGUGACUGACAGAAAUGGGCACUGACAUGCAUUAAAGAACAGAAGGACGCGAUGGUUUCCUGUUGAAGCUGAGCAGUGGGUGGCUUGGCAGAGGCUGUUUCUCUUGGCGUUGUCUCUGGUGACCCAAAGGGCAUUCAAAGCCUUCCAGAAAGGAACAACUUCCUGCAGGGCACGUCCACACUUCACUUAGUCAGGUUCUUCUUCUGCCUCCUGCCAGGGGCCCUCUCAGCAUCUCUCCAUGUGCUGAUAUUACAAGCACUGCUGGCUUCUCCUCUCAUUACCCCUCAUUCCAUUCCAAUAUUUCCACACUUAUUCACAGCCUUCUAUGUGCCCAAUAGUGUGCUAGACACCAGGGGUGAUAAAAGACUUGGAUUUUAAUCAACCAAUUAAGAGAAGCAAAGUCCCUGCCUUUGCUUCCUUCCUUUUUAUUAUUAUUAUUAUUAUUAUUUGUCAGAACAGCCACAAAAGGAGCUACUCAAGCAGUAUGUCCUUAAUUACUCUUCAGCCCCAAAGCCUGGCCUGUUAUUUCCUCUGGAAACUUUGUACCCCGAGGUAAAACUGAAUGCCAGAAAGAUAAAGAAACUGACUCAGAAAGAGUCUGGAAUAAAAAAGAAAUUGAACUACAAUGCUGCCUCCUUGUUCGAAGGUCAGACCUGGGAUUCGGAUGCAUGAUUUUCAUAGGAAACUCCCUAAAAUCCUUUUCCAGUCCUAGACACUGGGGAUUGCCACAAAUUAUAAGACUAUGACCUGUCUUAUGACACCACAGCUUAGGAUACUCUCCUGCAUUUUUUAGUGUUGAUGUGGAACAGCUGGAUGUACCAGCAUCUUGAGGAACAUCAAGGCACAUGAAUAAGUGAACCAGACUGAAAAUGACUUUAGUCAAGCAAAGUAACCUCUCUGGGGGUAUGACAGCAAUAAUGCCCACUUCUCAUUACUUCUGCUGAUGAAAUGAGGUAGUGCUUGUGAAAGCCACUCUGCAACUUAUGAAGCUUUACACAAAUGCUAGUUAUCAUCACCAUCAUCAUCAUAAGAACAUAAUUACUGCCACGACUAACAACACCCUCAACAACCAAAAGAAUUUGCCAGGCACCUACAAGAAAAUUUGCUGGCAAAGAGCAAAUAGAAUGCAUCACCUACUCCCUAGGAAUGUGUCAUCCAAAAUAAAUAGAUUGUUGCUAAGAGAUAAUAUUCAGAGAAUCUUACAGUUGGAGAGGUUUUGGACGUCAUCUAGUCUACUCUCUAACCCAUUUCUCAGGAAUUGACUCCUACAUUCCUGAUGGCCUGAAUUCCACCGUGAGUCAGAACACUCUCAGCAAUGAGAGACUGUUCAGUGGGCCAGCCUUAGACUUGAGACUUACAUAUCCGCAGUCAUGGAAAUAACACUGUCUAUUUCUUGCUGAACAAUCGGGGUUUUGCUUCAUCAUUGAGCUUGUCCUGCCAGCCUCCACCAGUUCCUGAAGAGAACAGGCCAAAGUGUGGAACAUACAGGAUGAAGCGAUUACAACCUGGGCGCAGUAUACUGGCUGGCUUUGCUGCUCACUCCCUUACGAAUAGCUGUGAUGGGAUAUGAAAUCCAAGGGAACUGUUAGCCCCCCAGAGCAGCUGCUCCCACCGACCCUGCUCCAAGAGUGCUGGGAUGUCCGCUGGCCUCGAGGCAAGACAAGAGCUCCAAUCACUCUGCUGCAAGCGCCACCAUUAAAGUCAAGAUCACUGUGGUGGGGGGAGUUGAAGUGUGCAUUCCAGCAUGCUCAUGAUCUUACUGACCUUCUCCACUGAUGAAUUAGAACACCCCUCUUCCCAGGCACAGGACGAGUUCAGUGCCUCUCUGUUUCUUGAUGGACCCCAAUAAAAAAACGCCUGCACUGUU